AGCAGGGUGGCUCAGUGGAAAGAGCCUGGGCUUCGGAGUCAGAGGUCAUGGGUUUGAAUUCCUCUCUGCCA
rnacentral:tRNA from 1 species